rnacentral:rRNA from 1 species
UACGUAGGGGGCAAGCGUUGUCCGGAAUCAUUGGGCGUAAAGCGUACCGAUAGGUGGUUUUACAAGUCAGAAGUGAAAUCUCUCAGCUUAACUGGGAGUCUGUCUUUUGAAACUGUAAAACUAGAGGGGCAAAGAGGAAGCUGGAACGAACGGUGUAGUAGUGAAAUGCGUUGAUAUCGUUCGGAACAUCAAUAGCGUAGGCAAGCUUCUGGGUGCCACCUGACACUGCUAGGACGAAAGCGUGGGGAGCGAAUGGG